CGCGCGGUAUGUCAGGGCCCAGCACCGACACUCUGCGAGGAAGCAAGGCAGCUCGCUGCCUGCUCUCCGGUACGGCAGCGGGCUUUUGGUGUCGGCGCACAGAUCUGGGCUGGCGUUGCGCGGAAGUGCCUUGCAAUCGCGACCUCGUUUGGGGGCCAGCUCACUACGUCUCGUGCCGACGCUUUAACAGGUGUACGCGUGCACCUGCUGUUUUUCUGCGUCCGGUGCGCUGCGGUGCUGUUGAGCAUGGUCCUGGACGUGGCCUGCGCUGUCUGCAGUGACAUAGCACUGAGCUGAGUGACGCCAAGCGGUGCUGGCUGGCUAGCUUUCCUGACGAGUCUUCGAUGGAAGCCUGUAUUCCACCAGAGACUGCUUUCACCCCGACAGGCGCUUGAUCUUCCGGGGUCUCAGCCUUUCGGCUCAACAAGAGGUGAGAAGCGUCACGGGAAUACGGAAAGAAAACGGCGUUCACGGACGCGUGGCGCAGAGACAUGGGAAAGCAAAAGAAAACAAUGAAGGGCCGCUUAGGGUAAUGAUGAGCUGAUGAGGGAAGCUUAAACCGGCCGCCGCAAGCACGUCAUUGGCGCACAUGCAUGUGCCCGUAUAGGCGUGCUUAUCAAUCCUUGCUUGCGCGUUUUUCUCUCUGUUGCUGUCUCUGAAUGCUUCGCUCUUGUCUCCGCGCGACAG
rnacentral:misc_RNA from 1 species